AUUGAACGCUGGCGGCAGGCUUAACACAUGCAAGUCGAGCGAGCGGCGGACUGGUGAGCAAUGUCUGGGAAACUGCCUGACGGAGGGGGAUAACUACUGGAAACGGUAGCUAUACCGCAUCCCUUCAGAUGUGCCCAGGUGGGAUUAGCUAGCAGAUGGGGUAAUGGCUCACCUAGGCGACGACCCCUAGCUGGUCCGAGAGGAUGACCGGCAACACUGGAACUGAGACACGGUCCAGGCUCCUACGGGAGGCAGCAGUAGGGAAUAUUACACAGUGGGCGAAAGCCUGAUGCAGCGAUGCCGCGUGUGUGAAGAAGGCCUUCGGGUUGUAAAACACUUUCAGCGAGGAAGCGUUACUCGCAGACGAAGAACCGGCUAACUCCGUGCCAGCAGCCGCGGUAAUUC
rnacentral:rRNA from 1 species